GCCGGUAUGGUCCAGUGGUAAGAUAUCUGUUUCGGGUACAGGUGACCCGGGUUCGAUCCCCGGUUCCGGCC
rfam:Vittaforma corneae ATCC 50505 unplaced genomic scaffold supercont1.17, whole genome shotgun sequence.